ensembl:lncRNA
GGCCUUGGGUGCAUUGCAACCACGUACGCCCAGCUGCUUCAUCAGAGCAGGAAGACGCUAAGAAAGAAUGGGAAGCAUCUCUGCACCCGUCCAACCCCUUGAGGCUAAAGCUUUGAAGGCGCCAACAGGACCAGGACAACUCGGCUGGGCCAUCUUGUGGAUGACCCAGUUACUCUGCUCCGGAGUUGCCAGCGUGAACCCGCAUCAACCCGUCAAAAUCACCUGGAAGCUGCAAAAUGGACUAACACGAGAGGAAGACAUCUCUCAAGAAGCAUCUGUAUUGUCAGCACCGAAAGCCUCGUCUCCAGGAAUUCUGACAGCCCUCCUUCUGAGCAUGUGCCCUCCCAAGCAGGCGACGCCCUCCACAUGCACAGAGCCCGUACUCACACCAUGGGGUAUGUAGUGGGCAUCUAUGACAAUGCCACGCGGCCCCAGACGUGUGGAAACCUUGCUCCCUCGCCUCACUAUGUCAAUGUCAGAGCUUCAAGAGUUUCCCCUAGCACUUCUUCAGAGGAUUCGAGAGACUAUGUCAAUAUCCCCACAGCCAAGGAGCUUGCUGAGACUUUGGCUUCUGCCAAUAACCCUCCUGGGAACCUCUUCAUCCUCCCAAGCACCAAAGAGCUGGCACUGUCUGAAGAAAUAGAUGAGGGUUGUGGGGACGCCAGUGACUGUGCCAGUUUGGGGUCUCCAGGAACGGA